GGAGAAGUAAAAUGAGGCAAAAGAUCCAUUUUCUCCACAUUCCCCACAUCUUCUUCUCAGUGGCGCCGCUGCCGUUCUCCAUUGUUCCCUCGAUCCCCCCGUCCUCUCUCUCUCUCGCUCGCUCUCCUUGACGCAUCGAGCCUAAUUCCCUCCAUCUGCGGCGGAAGGCCAACAGAUCAAGGAUAUAGCAUAACAUAGUUUGCAGGAUACAUCAUAACAUAUAUGAAGAUGCUUGAAGACGGAGGUCAUACCCUAAACCCGCUACGGCUGCUGUACCAGAUCAAGAGAGCUAAGGCUACCACCGGUCAGACUGGAAUCACGAUGCCGUUGGCGCCUCCUGCACUGACGACGAUUGGGGAAGCAAAUUCCAAGGCCGGCACAUCCCCUGCUAUGAUGUGGGUAGGGACAAUCUUCAUCGUCUGUCUUUCCAUCGGCGGCACCUCGGCCUUGGCAUACACCCUCUACAGCCACCAUUUCUUCCCUGCUGACCGCUCGUGUUGUCUGCUGACUCUCAUAUUAUGGGGGGUCUACGUGGCAGUGGUCGCAGUGGUAAUGGUGUACAUGACCCUGUUCCUGCCGAACGCCCCUGUUGCCCUGCGGGAAGCACUCGUCGACAUUGGUUGGAUUUAUGUCGGUUCACCUGUCAUGGCGAUAGACAUUCUUCUGAUGUUCUUUGGCCAGCCGUGGAUGGUCAUCUCAAUGUUUUACUGUCUCGGCAUUCUGAUUGCUGGCGUCCUUGCCUUCUGGUGGUGGCUUGCUCUCACGUACAGGAAAUGUGCUUAGCCUCACUCCUUUUCUGUAACAGACAUUUCCACUCUGUUCAUUACUUAGUACUCCCUUUUGUAAACUAAUAUAAGAUCUCCUUUUAGGUACUAUUAUUGUAUAUAUAUGUUUGCUUGUGUUCGUGUA